rnacentral:tRNA from 1 species
AAUCCGUCGACUUUMAAAAUCGUGAGGGUUCAAGUCCCUCUAUCCCCAAAAAG